GGGGUAGAUGAAGCGUGUGACUGUCACCCUGCAAAGCUUUCAGUGCAUUUCCAAGCUGGUUCUUGCUUUUGAUCUAAUACUAACGCACGUUAGACCAAGAUUGUUGAAAAUUACUGGGGAAAAAAAAAGUGCGUCACGUUCUACACGGAAAAGUGGCCGGCACUUGAGAUUUGAUUCCGGUGGGGAAUUUACAUGACGUUGGAGAGGGACGAGGGGGGAGAGGAAUGCUUGUUUGAGAGAGAGAGAUGGAUGAAGUUAAAGGGCGAAGGAAAGCAGGCUUUAGCAAGGGGAGUGGAGGCGGACACAGCCUUUGAGGUACCCAGAG
rnacentral:misc_RNA from 1 species